rnacentral:rRNA from 1 species
UACAGAGACUGCAAGCGUUAUUCGGAUUCACUGGGCGUAAAGGGUGCGCAGGCGGUUGUGUGUGUCAGGUGUGAAAGCCCGGGGCUUAACCCCGGAAUUGCGCCUGAAACUACAUGACUAGAGCAUUGGAGAAGGGUAGCGGAAUUCACGGUGUAGCAGUGAAAUGCGUAGAUAUCGUGAGGAACACCAGAGGCGAAGGCGGCUACCUGGACAAUUGCUGACGCUCAGGCACGAAAGCGUGGGGAGCAAAAGGG